rnacentral:lncRNA from 1 species
CUUCCAACGUGCUGGGAUUGCAGGCGUGAGCCACCUCGCCCGGCCCAAAGUGGUCUUAAGCAAACACAUUCCAUCAUCCUGGUCGCGGGAGAAGGUUGGGGAGCUCCCAACAGAGGACCCUAGUGGGGAGAGGAUUGGGGAGCUGCCAAGGAAGGCCCCAAGGAGUUUGGAUGGACGCAGGCAUCGGUGAUGGGACCCCCAAAGAGGACUUCUCUUCCUGCAGCUCCGGGAUUGUGGAGGGCUGCGGGAGGUGGAGGUGACUGCCUGCCUGGUGUGGAAGGACUGGCCUCACCGAGUCCACCCCCACAGCCUCGUGGGGAAAGACUGCACCGACGGCAUCUGCAGGGUGCGGCUCCGGCCUCACGUCAGCCCCCGGCACAGUUUUAACAACCUGGGCAUCCAGUGUGUGAGGAAGAAGGAGAUUGAGGCUGCCAUUGAGCGGAAGAUUCAACUGGGCAUUGACCCCUACAACGCUGGGUCCCUGAAGAACCAUCAGGAAGUAGACAUGAAUGUGGUGAGGAUCUGCUUCCAGGCCUCAUAUCGGGA